CGGAAGACUACUGCUCCCGGCAUGACGGGGGGGGGAGGGGGGGCCGCAGCGCUCUGUGAGGUUUGAGCCUGUGGCGAUUCCGUUACGCUCCUUCCCCACCCCGGCUCGCCCGCUUUCAGGACCCGGAUACCGCCGCAGUGCCCGGAGCGCGGCCCCGCGAUCCCCGACACCGGCCGGAGACUCCCCCAACACCGCCGCGACCGGCCCCGGAAACAACACCUGGAAGCGAGUCUGCCAUGGGGCUCGGUGCCAGCAUGCUUCCCCUUACCCUGUGACACCUGAAGAGUCAUCGCCACACCAGCGUUCAUCCAUCCACCAGGGAAGGGUCAGCUCCUGCUGCUGCCCUUGACGUGGCAGGUGUCCAGGUAGCCAACAGCCUACCCCCUCUGCUUUCUCCUUCAGGGACAGGCUCCAGCUCUUUCUGUUUCCCCAAAUACCAUUGCCAAGUAAUUAACCUGGGGUUGCACUAAUUGAGCCUUCCUGAAAUUGAUCUCUUAAUUUUACAGUUCAGACACUUCUCUUUCUCUCUCACUUCCUCUUCAGUAACUCUGAUCACUUGACUGUCAUUCCCCUAAGAUAAUAAUUUGCUGUCUUGUACCUCUUAAAGUAUGAUGCUUGAUAGACACAUAAAGUCACGUGCACAGAAAUAUAUGUACGUAGCAUACUUUUUGUAAUGCGUACAGACCUUCUGUUAUACGUUGGUGAUCUGUUAUUCCGAUCACUAUUAAUGGUGAUCCUUCCUCGCCACGAGGAAUAGGCUUUCCAUUUUGGGGACAUGGAGACAGCUUUCAGUUGCUUCCAUUUGAUUUUAUUAUUUCAGCUUGCUUACAUUUUUCUGGUCUCUUCUACUUCAGCCAUGGCAAUUAAUGUAAAAACUCCUAGAUUCCUCUUAUGCUUGGAUGAUGGCCUAACAGGUGAUGACCAGAAUGAACAACUGGAUCACUAGGUCUAGCUGCUUCUUUUCAAGAUGUCCCCCUUUGGUGGACUACUCUGCCAAACAAACCAAGAAGACUGAUGAGGCCAUAAGGGAGGAGCCACCGGUCUCCCACCCCACGAGAGGGGAGGAGGAGGAGGGAUCCACGAGCUUGCAGAGAAUGCCAGAAGAGGCAGCAGGGAACUCCCCAAGGGCCCCAUAUCCAAGAAGAGCUGUGAAGGACCCCAUGUCCCAGACAAGAGAAGGCAUCAGGCCGCUGUGCCACUGCUGGAGAUAUCCAGACCCCUGUGCAGCAUACGAGUGCCUGGGGAGCCGUCAGAGGCAACGGAGGACCCAUCGACACAUACUGCACUGGGGAACCCCAUGGCUUUGGGGCAGCUGUACAGGAGGCAGCAGGCCUCAGCGAGGCUUUCAAUCAGUCAGUGCCCGCAUUGGCUGGUGCCCACACUCUGUACCUGGGGGUGGGGGAGGCCUCUGGGUGCCUGGGAGUGUCAUUCUUUGUGACGGUGUGCUCCUUUCCCCCCCACUGAUGUGCUCUCGCCCCCUCAACCUGACCUCUGUGUAAACAGCACGUAUGUAGGGACAAGUUGAGCAUGCGCCAGCUAAGGCCCGUCUAGUAUGCAAAUAUAACUAUGAGUCGAUCAUCUCCCCCCCCCCAUAAAUAGGGGGCAGCCCAGAGCCCAUUGAGCUCUCCUGCAUGGCAGUGGGCUGCACUGCAGAACUGCCUCUUGAGCAGGGACACCUCUCAAGGUUCCUCCUCGAGGUUGAGAGAUUCCUUACCUGCAACAGAUCCUCAGCAAGUGAUUAAUAGCAUGCUGAACUUUUGUGAACUUCAGAAACUUUGCUGAGUUAUAUCUCCGACUAAUUGUGCACUUAAUCCCUUAGACAUAAACUGUUGACCAAGUCUGGGACUAGGACUGGAUCCAGCUGCAUCUAGGCUCCUCUCCGAAGGAGUUUAGAAAGCAAGGGGGUCCAGUCUGAACCUCGUGACUCAACGGGAGGGUCUCUGUUGCGCACGCAUCUGACCCUGUCCUUCAUGCAGUAAAUAACUGAGUGAACCUUGCCAAUCGAACCUCGUUAAAUCGUUCUUAUUUACAACUGAACUUUGUUAAGUCGCUAUCUUACCGCAAUAAACAUAGUGCUGCUUCCCUCUUAUGAGUGAAG
ensembl:lncRNA